UACGUAGGGUGCAAGCGUUAAUCGGAAUUACUGGGCGUAAAGCGUGCGCAGGCGGUUAUGUAAGACAGAUGUGAAAUCCCCGGGCUCAACCUGGGAACUGCAUUUGUGACUGCAUAGCUAGAGUACGGUAGAGGGGGAUGGAAUUCCACGUGUAGCAGUGAAAUGCGUAGAUAUGCGGAGGAACACCGAUGGCGAAGGCAAUCCCCUGGACCUGUACUGACGCUCAUGCACGAAAGCGUGGGGAGCAAACAGG
rnacentral:rRNA from 1 species